ensembl:lincRNA
UCUGUCUCCAGUUGUAGGACUGGCCUAGAGGACAGUCUAGAGCUGACCUGACCAUGUGCAAGUCACGUCUCCAGCCCUGAGGAAAGGAGGCAACAGGAAGCAGGAAUCAGGGAAGAAGGGACAGAUGGCCUGUGUUGGAGGGACUUGUAGGGGAAGGAAAGAAAAGAAAAAAGGAAAAAAGGAAGAAAAAAAGACAAAGACCUCUCCUCUAAUCUCUGAGUCCUCAACUGACACUCCCCAGCCUGUUCACUACUCCCUAACCCAGCCUGGCCUACUGUGGAAGAAAAAAAGCAGCAAAUGGAAGAAACAUCUCAAAUGGAAAUCAGCAAGCGGUUUACUUGGUUCUCUGUAUCCUCUUUUGGAUGCUUCCAGUUCCACAAAAUAGGCACUAAAAAAUUCAUUUUCUUAGAGUCCCAGUUACCAUUGUUACGGUUUUGAGAAAGCUGUGAACCUUUGCUUAUAUAAAUACGGAACAUUUUUCUUGAGGUUCUGCCUCUAGCACCACGUUGCAGAAGAGGCUUUGCCCUGGCUGGUAAUACCCUGCAAACUUCUGACUUUCUAGUUUGACCCCCUAAAAAUGAAAACUUGAAAUUCUGAAUUUAAAAAAGCUGAGAAGAUUUUACACUGUAGGACCUCUCAGAGCUUAUACUAUGCUACUGUGCUUCGAAGAUCUCUAAGAGAGUUAAAAGAUGCCCCACUUUCCAAGAUUUUGACAAGGAACAAUAUAUCUAUAGAGCAUCUAGCAGCAGUCAUGUUGAGUGGAGAUUCUUGGGGAGAUGCUCAUCUCCUUUACACGGUUUUACAAGGCCUUUCUCAACCCAACCUCCUCUCACCCGUCUAACCACAUCUCUCUGUUCCACACUCUAUUCUAAGUUACAACCACACAGAAUUCCUUGUCAUCCUUGAACAUAAUCUGCUUUUUUUUUUUCUUUUUAUCAUGCUCUCCCACACAGUCUUCUUUGAAGACCAUUUCUCCUGGCAAAUUCUGACAUCUUCCAGAACCUAGUUUUAUAGCCACUUGAUCCAGAGGUAUGAUGGCUUCAUAAGAUGCCAAGAGCACCCUCAGGGCCAGAUUAAUACAGGCACAAGGUGUGACAGUCUAGGUGGGGAUUAAAUAUUACUGCAGUAGUAGAGCACUACUAAGGUAUUAAAACUGACAGAAUAGUAUACUUAAAAACAAAACAACAUACAAAAAACUAUCAGUGAGAAUGCUUUCUAAGUUUGGGGAAUAUUUUGGAAUGUCACUGAUGAAACAGACAUUUUUGAUAUAAUAAUUCAUGGCCAGUAAGUUUUCUACAAAGGAGUUUGAGUGUAUUUCUUUGCUAUGGGACUUCCUUGGGCUAGAGGACUUCCUUGGGCAGGUUUGGGAUAAGAGCUGGAUUGCUGAAGGCAGGAGAAGCUUCCAAAUCAACCUCCCUAGUGACCAGUGAUUCCUCCAAAUAAAAGUUAAACUCUACCAGUAUAUGACAAUAUUGAAUUAUUUAACUACUAUAUGCAACUUUCAGGGAAUCAGUCAGAUACAUCAAACUCCCUAAAACCUCCCAUUUGCUGAAGCCAACCAGAAACCAACAGGCAAAGAAGUCUACAGAGAUUUAGCCUUUUAGGACACAGAGCAGCACACACACCCACACACACACACACACACACACACACACACACACACACAAAGAAUGUGUAAGGGAGGGUGGAUAGAAAAAUGGACAAGGAUCAACCUGCCUUCCCUAGAGAUUGUAUCAAUUUACAUUCCUACAACAAUGUAGAAACAUGUUUAUUAGUCCAUUUUCUCUUUGACACAGGACAUUAUCAAACUAUUGAAUCUUUGCCUAGCUGGUACCUGAAAAAUGCUAUGCCACUAUACUUUCAAUUGCUUUUCUCUUUUUAUAGGCAGAGUUAAUAAUAGAUUUUUCAAUGUUUUAAGAGCUAUUUAUAUUUUUAUCAUUUGAACAGUAAUUUUAUAUUCUUUGCCUAUAUUUUACAGUAGAGGGCACUUUUUCCUUAUUGAUUUACCAUGGUUUUUAUAUAUUAAGGAAACUGACCUUCUGUCUCUGCUUUUGAUUUUACAGAUUUUUAAUUAAUCUCUUUAUUUUUGCAUUCUUUAUAUUUUUCCUUGGGCAGGUUUGUUUUUGUGUUGCUAAAUUCAUCAAACUUACAGAGAGUCUGGAUUUUAUGCCACACCUAUGCCUUAUACACAUUGUGAUUUUAUAUUUUUUCUCUAGUAAUUGUAUGCUUUUUUAAAAAAAACUGUCUUUGAACCAUUUGAAAUUUAUUUUGAUGUAAGGUUCAAGAUAGAUAUUCUACUCCAAAUCAUUGCCACUUUUCUUAACAUAAUUUACUAAAUAAUUUUUCCUCCACUGAUUUAUAAUUUCAUUCUUAUCAAAUGUCAAAUAUAUAUUUGGUUUAAUUCUGGAUGUUUUACUCUAUCUUCUGUCCUGCUUAUCUUUUUUAAAUUUAUGCAUUAUACUUUAAGUCUGGGGUACAUGUGCAGAUUUUUUUCAUUUAUCUAUUAUACUUUAAGUUUUGGGGUACAUGUGCAGGUUUGUUACGUAGUUAUACACGUGCCAUGGUGGUUAUUGGGUGCAUCCAUCACCCCGUCAUCUAUAUUAGAUAUUUCUCCUAAUGCUAUCCCUCCCCAAUCCCUUAACCCCCUGCUAUUCCUCCCCUAGCCCCCCAUCCCCCA